UACGGAGGGUGCAAGCGUUAUCCGGAUUCACUGGGUUUAAGGGGUGCGUAGGUGGGCAGUUAAGUCAGUGGUGAAAUCCCCGGGCUCAACCCGGAAACUGCCAUUGAUACUAUCUGUCUUGAAUAUCGUGGAGGUAAGCGGAAUAUGUCAUGUAGCGGUGAAAUGCUUAGAUAUGACAUAGAACACCAAUUGCGAAGGCAGCUUACUACCCGAAUAUUGACACUGAGGCACGAAAGCGUGGGGAUCAAACAGG
rnacentral:rRNA from 1 species